UCAUAUUGUAAAAGUAUUAUUCGGAUUGUUGUAGUGAAUCCCACUAGCGUUGGGGCAUAAAUGGUUAACCUGCUUAUCAUGUGUGAUGCGGGUCAUUGUUAAUCAUUCAGUGACUCACCGGGUAGCGACCGGCACUGCAACUCUACUUACAGGUAGAUUGAAGAUGACCUCUUCUCUUUAAUC
rnacentral:sRNA from 26 species